ACGGAGGGGACUAGCGUUGUUCGGAAUCACUGGGCGUAAAGCGCACGUAGGCGGAUGUGUCAGUCAGGGGUGAAAUCCCGGGGCUCAACCUCGGAACUGCCUUUGAUACAGCACGUCUCGAGUCCGGAAGAGGUGGGUGGAAUUCCUAGUGUAGAGGUGAAAUUCGUAGAUAUUAGGAAGAACACCGGUGGCGAAGGCGGCCCACUGGUCCGGUACUGACGCUGAGGUGCGAAAGCGUGGGGAGCAAACAGGA
rnacentral:rRNA from 1 species